rnacentral:sRNA from 1 species
CAUUUGUGGAGCCAAAAAUAAUCACAAGGCGACACGUGGAUUUUUGACAAAAAAAGACAAAACUACCCUUGAGGUAUAUUGGGAUUCCUACGUGCAAUCAGCAGACAAUUAUCCUUCAACCAAGUCAAAAGUGCCCAAAAUAGGUGCAAAAUCGUCCAAGAUCGAAGAGGAGAAAAUUUGCAUCCACAACACUUGGUGUAUCAUCUCGUGCACCGGUUACACUGAAAAACCUCUCAAAAAGCACGAGGCAAAGAAGAACAAAAUUAAGUCAAACGAGAAAAGAGGAAGAGACUAGAAAAGAAACAUUUCUUCAAAAUUUAAACCAAAAUAAUGAUCAAUUAACAAUUUCUUAAUUCUGCAUCAUGUUUAAUUCAGCUAUUUUGUAUGGUUACGAUCCAAAAAACUGGGAUGAUAAAUUCUAG